rnacentral:lncRNA from 1 species
UUAAUUCGAUAUACAUAUAAAAUUGUAAAAAUUAAUUUUAUCCCUAUAGAAUUUUAUUUUCAAACUAUCUUUACAACCCGAUUAAAUUCUUUUUUUAAAACGCGAAAGAAGAGGACCAUUCGAAUCUUGCAUUUCGGUGGGAACCCUCGAAUAAUCAGUCCUGAACCACGCGUUUUGGAUUAACCAUUCAUUCUUUUCUUUCACUCUUAAAACACUUUAAUUAGCAUGGACAAAAUAAAGGCCGUUGGGAUCAAGCAUUCUGGCGUAACCCUUUGAAC